rnacentral:rRNA from 1 species
AUUGAACGCUGGCGGCAAGCCUAACACAUGCAAGUCGAACGAGUGGCGGACGGGUGAGUAAUGUCUGGGAAACUGCCUGAUGGAGGGGGAUAACUACUGGAAACGGUAGCUAAUAACGCAUACCAUCGGAUGUGCCCAGGUGGGAUUAGCUAGUAGGUGGGGUAAAGGCUCACCUAGGCGACGAUCCCUAGCUGGUCUGAGAGGAGGACCGGCCGCAGGGGAACUGAGACACGGGCCAGAGUGGUAGGGGAGGCAGCAGGGGGGAAUGUUGCACAAUGGGCGCAAGCCUGAUGCAGCCAUGCCGCGUGUAUGAAGAAGGCCUUCGGGUUGUAAAGUACUUUCAGCGGGGAGGCGUUACCCGCAGAAGAAGCACCGGCUAACUCCGUGCCAGCAGCCGCGGUAAUAC